GGAUGUGAGGGUGAUCUGGCUGCGACAUCUGUCACCCCAUUGAUCACCAGGAUUGAUUCAGCUGAUCUGGCUGGCGAGGCGGGUGUCCCCUUCCUCCCUCACCACUCCAUGUGAACUCUGGAAGCUUGGCACUCAGUUGAAGAGGACGACCUUCCCCAAUAGAGGAGGAUCGGUCUUUGGUCAAAGGGUAGCUGUGCUCCCCUGCUAGAACCUCAAAACAAGAUCUCAAAGAAAGCUUUAUGUUCAUAAAAAAGAAGCCAUAGCCAGGCAAAGGAAGGCUAAUAAAUUGAGAACUGGAAAUUGAAUU
ensembl:misc_RNA 7SK 7SK RNA